rnacentral:tRNA from 1 species
AAACAGUUAGUUUAAAAAAAAUAUUUGAUUUCGACUCAAAAGCUUGUGGUCAAAUUCCGCAGCUGUUUA